AGCUUUGCACAGUGGCAGUAUCAUAGCCAAUGAGGUUUAUCCAAGGUGCAAUUAUUGCUGAUUAUUGAUAAAUUGAACUCAAUCCCAUCUCAUCUAGCUUAUUUUAUUUUGGAGGAAAAUCAACCAUUAUAAAUAUGG
rnacentral:snRNA from 1 species